rnacentral:rRNA from 1 species
AACGUAGGAGACAAACGUUAUCCGGAGUUACUGGGCGUAAAGGGCGUGUAGGUGGUUUCGUAAGUCUGGCGUGAAAUAUCUCGGCUUAACCGAGGCAGGUCGUCGGAUACUGCGGGACUAGAGGACGGUAGAGGCGUGUGGAAUUCCGGGUGUAGUGGUGAAAUGCGUAGAGAUCCGGAGGAACACCAGUGGCGAAGGCGACACGCUGGGCCGUACCUGACACUGAUGCGCGGACAGCAUGGGGAGCAAACAGG